UUGACCUCAAAUCAGGUAGGACUACCCGCUGAACUUAAGCAUAUCAAUAAGCGGAGGAAAAGAAACUAACAAGGAUUCCCCUAGUAACUGCGAGUGAAGCGGGAAAAGCUCAAAUUUAAAAUCUGGCGGUCUUGCGGCCGUCCGAGUUGUAAUCUGGAGAAGCGUUUAUCCGCGUCGGACCGUGUACAAGUCUUCUGGAAGGGAGCGCCGUAGAGGGUGAGAAUCCGUCUUUGACACGGACACCGGUGCUUUUGUGAUGCGCUCUCGAGAGUCGAGUGUUUGGGAAUGCAGCUCAAAUGGGUGGUAAA
rnacentral:rRNA from 1 species